rnacentral:rRNA from 1 species
AUUGAACGCUGGCGGCAGGCCUAACACAUGCAAGUCGAACGGUAACAGGAAGAAGCUUGCUUCUUUGCUGACGAGUGGCGGACGGGUGAGUAAUGUCUGGGAAACUGCCUGAUGGAGGGGGAUAACUACUGGAAACGGUAGCUAAUACCGCAUAACGUCGCAAGACCAAGAGGGGGACCUUCGGGCCUCUUGCCAUCGGAUGUGCCCAGAUGGGAUUAGCUAGUAGGUGGGGUAACGGCUCACCUAGGCGACGAUCCCUAGCUGGUCUGAGAGGAUGACCAGCCACACUGGAACUGAGACACGGUCCAGACUCCUACGGGAGGCAGCAGUGGGGAAUAUUGCACAAUGGGCGCAAGCCUGAUGCAGCCAUGCCGCGUGUAUGAAGAAGGCCUUCGGGUUGUAAAGUACUUUCAGCGGGGAGGAAGGGAGUAAAGUUAAUACCUUUACUCAUUGACGUUACCCGCAGAAGAAGCACCGGCUAACUCCGUG